GGGGGCGCACUUGACCUUCGGUGCGAUCCGCUGAGAGGCACUUGCUCGACUUUCGUAGCCAUCAUCUUGGCGGGAUAAGUGCGAUUGUUGAUUUCUUUUUUGUUGUUCUACCAGUUGAAAGACGGCUGUGCUUAAAAUAUGACUGAUUUACACGAGUUUAUUGAUGGUUUCGUCUUAGUUCCUAGCAGUAAGUCCGCACUUUGUUGUUUUGGGCGCACGUGCUCGCAAUAGCAGAUACAUAUUGUGGUUACGCAAUUGGUGCCACCUGCAAAGGAGAGGUAAACAGGAAGAUGCAAACUUUAAGAAGAAUUUGGUAUACUAAUUUUGCGAAUGGGUGAUGCAGAAAAUUUAAGAAAUGAAGCAUUUUCUGUAAAAAAA